AACUUUUAGCAACGGAUCACUUGGUUCUGGCAUCGAUGAAGAACGCAGCGAAAUGCGACAAGUAAUGCGAAUUGCAGAAUUCCAGUGAGUCAUCGAAUCUUUGAACGCACAUUGCGCCCUUUGGUAUUCCGAAGGGCAUGCCUGUUCGAGCGUCAUUAUCACCCCUCAAGCCCCGUGCUUGGUGUUGGACGGCCGGUCGAGCGAUCGACCCCUCCUAAAGACAAUGACGGCGGCCUGUGGUUCCCCCGGUACACUGAGCUUUUAACGGAGCACGUACCGGACCAGGGCACCCGGGACCCGGUCCUCUCCUUUCACUAGGAAACUUCUAAGGUUGACCUCGGAUCAGGUAGGAAUACGCGCUGAACUUAAGCAUAUCAAUAAGCGGAGGCU
rnacentral:misc_RNA from 1 species